UAUAACCUAGCUUUUAAGAGCAUGUACUGUAGCACUUUCAGCCAGUAAUGUAUCUUUUAUGCGGUACUGCAGUCGUGGUUGAUUAGGUGAUGAGGGCUCGCCUCAAGGCAAGGAGCCGGUGGAGGAAUAGCUUGCUCGUAGUUCAAGAUCGCUAAAGUUGUGAGGCGGAGUGCUGGGCAUAUCCUUGCUUGUCUUUCUUCACUUUUAAUCCUAUGUAUGUUUAUUGUUGAGCAUGAACUUAUUAUCAGGAUUAUGGAUCCAUUAGUGUGUUUGUUUCCCUAUGUGUAGUAAUUGCUUUACUUGUAUAUUGUCUAUCUCUUAUUGAAAGCCUUGUUGUAUUUG